rnacentral:rRNA from 1 species
GCGCUAAUAGAUGAGCCCAAACCGGAUUAGCUAGUUGGUGAGGUAAUGGCUCACCAAGGCGACGAUCCGUAGCUGGUCUGAGAGGACGACCAGCCACACUGGGACUGAGACACGGCCCAG